rnacentral:rRNA from 1 species
UACGGGGGGAGCAAGCGUUGUUCGGAUUUACUGGGCGUAAAGGGCGCGUAGGCGGCCACCGCAAGUCAGUUGUGAAAUCUCCGAGCUUAACUCGGAAAGGUCAACUGAUACUGCGGGGCUAGAGUGCGGAAGGGGCAACUGGAAUUCUUGGUGUAGCGGUGAAAUGCGUAGAUAUCAAGAGGAACACCUGCGGCGAAGGCGGGUUGCUGGGCCGUAACGACGCUGAGGAGCGAAAGCGUGGGGAGCGAACAGG